AUGAACGCUGGCGGCACGCUUAACACAUGCAAGUCGAGCGGAGGAAAGACAGGAAGGCUUCGGCCGGAAAGUCAUUCUUCAGCGGCGGACGGGUGAGGAACGCGUGGGUAACCUGCCCUGUACAGGGGGAUAACACAGAGAAAUCUGUGCUAAAACCGCAUAAGCCUACAGGAUCGCAUGAUCCAGAAGGAAAAACUCCGGUGGUACAGGAUGGGCCCGCGUCUGAUUAGCUAGUUGGAGAGGUAACGGCUCACCAAGGCGACGAUCAGUAGCCGGUCUGAGAGGAUGGACGGCCACAUUGGGACUGAGACACGGCCCAAACUCCUACGGGAGGCAGCAGUGGGGAAUAUUGCACAAUGGGGGAAACCCUGAUGCAGCGAUGCCGCGUGAAGGAAGAAGAUUUUCGGAUUGUAAACUUCUAUCAGCAAGGAAGAAAACGGACAGUACUUGAGUAAGAAGCCCCGGCUAACUACGUGCCAGCAGCCGCGGUAAUACGUAGGGGGCAAGCGUUAUCCGGAAUUACUGGGUGUAAAGGGUGCGUAGGCGGCCCGGCAAGUUUGAUGUGAAACCCAUAGGCUUAACCUGUGGCAUGCAUCAAAAACUACCGAGCUAGAGUGCAGGAGAGGAAAGCGGAAUUCCUAGUGUAGCGGUGAAAUGCGUAGAUAUUAGGAAGAACACCAGUGGCGAAGGCGGCUUUCUGGACUGCAACUGACGCUGAAGCACGAAAGCGUGGGGAGCAAACAGGAUUAGAUACCCUGGUAGUCCACGCUGUAAACGAUGAAUGCUAGGUGUUGGGUCCGGAUGGACUCGGUGCCGUAGUUAACGCAAUAAGCAUUCCACCUGGGGAGUACGACCGCAAGGUUGAAACUCAAAGGAAUUGACGGGGGCCCGCACAAGCGGUGGAGCAUGUGGAUUAAUUCGACGCAACGCGAAGAACCUUACCAGGUCUUGACAUCCCUCUGAAGAGACUAGAGAUAGUCUUGGCCUUCGGGACAGAGGAGACAGGUGGUGCAUGGUUGUCGUCAGCUCGUGUCGUGAGAUGUUGGGUUAAGUCCCGCAACGAGCGCAACCCUUAUUGAUAGUAGCCAGCAGGUAAAGCUGGGGACUCUAUUGAGACUGCCGGGGAUAACUCGGAGGAAGGUGGGGAUGACGUCAAAUCAUCAUGCCCCUUAUGACCUGGGCUUCACACGUGCUACAAUGGCUGUCACAAAGAGAAGCGAACCCGCGAGGGGGAGCGAAGCUCAAAAAGGCAGUCCCAGUUCGGAUUGCAGGCUGCAACCCGCCUGCAUGAAGCUGGAAUCGCUAGUAAUCGCGAAUCAGCAUGUCGCGGUGAAUACGUUCCCGGGCCUUGUACACACCGCCCGUCACACCAUGGGAGUUUAGAGCACCCGAAGUCAGUGAGGCAACCGUAAGGAGCCAGCUGCCGAAGGUGAGCUAAGUAACUGGGGUG
rnacentral:rRNA from 1 species